rnacentral:rRNA from 1 species
UACGUAGGGACCAAGCGUUGUUCGGAUUUACUGGGCGUAAGGGGCGCGUAGGCGGCGUGGUAAGUCAGUUGUGAAAUCUCCGAGCUUAACUCGGAACGGCCAACUGAUACUGCUGUGCUAGAGUGCAGAAGGGGCAAUCAGAAUUCUGGUGUAGCGGUGAAAUGCGUAGAUAGUCGGAAGGAACGCCGGUGGCGAAAGCGAUCUGCUGGACCUCUUCUAACGCUGGAGGCGCGAAAGCCUAGGGGAGCAAACGGG